rnacentral:tRNA from 1 species
GGAAUAGCUCAGUGGUAGAGCGCAUGCUUAGCAUGCACGAGGUCCUGGGUUCAAUCCCCAAUACCUCCA